GACGAAGGGGGGCGGGCGUUAUCCAUGAUGACUGGGCGUAAAGAGUCCGUAGGCGGCUUUUCAAGUUAAAAGUAAAAUCAAAAAGCUUAACUUUUUUGAGGCUUUUUAAUACGUUAGAGCUUGGAGUUUAAAGGGAGAUAGUAGAAUUUCAUAUGGAGGGGGUGAAAUCCGUAGAAUUAUGAAGGAAUACUGAUGGCGAAGGCGACUAUCUAUAAUCUGACGCUGAGGGACGAAAGCAUGGGGAGCAAACAGG
rnacentral:rRNA from 1 species